GACGAACGCUGGCGGCGUGCUUAACACAUGCAAGUCGAACGGAAAGGCCCUGCUUUUGUGGGGUGCUCGAGUGGCGAACGGGUGAGUAACACGUGAGUAACCUGCCCUUGACUUUGGGAUAACUUCAGGAAACUGGGGCUAAUACCGGAUAGGAGCUCCUGCUGCAUGGUGGGGGUUGGAAAGUUUCGGCGGUUGGGGAUGGACUCGCGGCUUAUCAGCUUGUUGGUGGGGUAGUGGCUUACCAAGGCUUUGACGGGUAGCCGGCCUGAGAGGGUGACCGGCCACAUUGGGACUGAGAUACGGCCCAGACUCCUACGGGAGGCAGCAGUGGGGAAUAUUGCACAAUGGGCGGAAGCCUGAUGCAGCAACGCCGCGUGCGGGAUGACGGCCUUCGGGUUGUAAACCGCUUUCGCCUGUGACGAAGCGUGAGUGACGGUAAUGGGUAAAGAAGCACCGGCUAACUACGUGCCAGCAGCCGCGGUGAUACGUAGGGUGCGAGCGUUGUCCGGAUUUAUUGGGCGUAAAGGGCUCGUAGGUGGUUGAUCGCGUCGGAAGUGUAAUCUUGGGGCUUAACCCUGAGCGUGCUUUCGAUACGGGUUGACUUGAGGAAGGUAGGGGAGAAUGGAGUUCCUGGUGGAGCGGUGGAAUGCGCAGAUAUCAGGAGGAACACCAGUGGCGAAGGCGGUUCUCUGGGCCUUUCCUGACGCUGAGGAGCGAAAGCGUGGGGAGCGAACAGGCUUAGAUACCCUGGUAGUCCACGCUGUAAACGGUGGGUACUAGGUGUGGGGUCCAUUCCACGGGUUCCGUGCCGUAGCUAACGCUUUAAGUACCCCGCCUGGGGAGUACGGCCGCAAGGCUAAAACUCAAAGGAAUUGACGGGGCCCCGCACAAGCGGCGGAGCAUGCGGAUUAAUUCGAUGCAACGCGUAGAACCUUACCUGGGUUUGACAUGGAUCGGGAGCGCUCAGAGAUGGGUGUGCCUCUUUUGGGGUCGGUUCACAGGUGGUGCAUGGCUGUCGUCAGCUCGUGUCGUGAGAUGUUGGGUUAAGUCCCGCAACGAGCGCAACCCUUGUUCACUGUUGCCAGCACGUUAUGGUGGGGACUCAGUGGAGACCGCCGGGGUCAACACGGAGGAAGGUGGGGAUGACGUCAAGUCAUCAUGCCCCUUAUGUCCAGGGCUUCACGCAUGCUACAAUGGCUGGUACAGAGAGUGGCGAGCCUGUGAGGGUGAGCGAAUCUCGGAAAGCCGGUCUCAGUUCGGAUUGGGGUCUGCAACUCGACCUCAUGAAGUCGGAGUCGCUAGUAAUCGCAGAUCAGCAACGCUGCGGUGAAUACGUUCCCGGGGCU
rnacentral:rRNA from 1 species